UACGUAGGGGGCAAGCGUUGUCCGGAAUCAUUGGGCGUAAAGCGCGUGUAGGCGGCUCGAUAAGUCUGCUGUGAAAGUCCAGGGCUCAACCCUGGGAUGCCGGUGGAUACUGUCGGGCUCGAGUCCGGAAGAGGCGAGUGGAAUUCCUGGUGUAGCGGUGAAAUGCGCAGAUAUCAGGAAGAACACCCGUGGCGAAAGCGGCUCUCUGGAACGGUACUGACGCUGAGACGCGAAAGCGUGGGGAGCGAACAGG
rnacentral:rRNA from 1 species